AUGAACGCUGGCGGCGUGCCUAAUACAUGCCAGUCGAGCGAACAGACGAGGAGCUUGCUCCUCUGACGUUAGCGGCGGACGGGUGAGUAACACGUGGAUAACCUACCUAUAAGACUGGGAUAACUUCGGGAAACCGGAGCUAAUACCGGAUAACAUGCUGAACCGCAUGGUUUAACAGUGAAAGACGGUCUUGCUGUCACUUAUAGAUGGAUCCGCGCCGCAUUAGCUAGUUGGUAAGGUAACGGCUUACCAAGGCAACGAUGCGUAGCCGACCUGAGAGGGUGAUCGGCCACACUGGAACUGAGACACGGUCCAGACUCCUACGGGAGGCAGCAGUAGGGAAUCUUCCGCAAUGGGCGAAAGCCUGACGGAGCAACGCCGCGUGAGUGAAGAAGGUCUUCGGAUCGUAAAACUCUGUUAUUAGGGAAGAACAAAUGUGUAAGUAACUAUGCACGUCUUGACGGUACCUAAUCAGAAAGCCACGGCUAACUACGUG
rnacentral:rRNA from 1 species